rnacentral:lncRNA from 1 species
GGACUUUUGGUAUAGCAUUGGAAAUGUAAAUGAGCUAAAUACCUAAUAAAAAAUGGGAAAAAAAAGAAUAAAAUUAAAAAAAAGAAAGCAAAAAAAAAAAAAAAAGAAAGAAAAAAAUGUUUCUAAAUUCUCCCACUACCUUUUCUCUACCUUCAUCACAUUCAGGAAAGCUUCUCUUUCCCACCAAUCUUUCCCCAUCUCUGAGCCCUCUGGGCCAAGCCAAGCUGCCCUGAGCAACCUGCUUUUCCAAGGGAACACCAUUCUCAAAAUUCUCUUCCUCCACUGAUCUUCCCUGAUGGCUCAGCCCUCUAGGACAAACCAAGCUGCCCCGAGCAGCCUGCUUCUUCAGGGGACCACCAUUCUCAAACCACCUCUCCUCUGCAUCUUUCAGAUUCUUGGACCACACAGGUAAGAUUCUCUUUCUCAACCCAUCAGCCUUUUCUCUGAGCCCUCUGGGUCAAGCCAUGCUGCCCUGAGCAGCCUGCUAGCCCAUAGAGACCUCUAUUCUUCUGUCACUUCUCUGUCUACUUUCAUCAGAUGCGAGGAUCUUGAACCAUACAGACCUGACAUUCUGGAACCAUACAGCCCAAAGAUACCCAUCAGAAGCCUGCCACAACAGGGACAUCAAAGUUCACCCCACAGAUGACACCUACUACAACAAAAACAUCCAGGGACCAAAACCAUCCAGAAGUCUAAAUGCCCAUGAAAUAAUACAAUCAACAAAAGCCAGGGUAAUAUGGCCCUUCCAAACCACAGUUACACCAUAAUGCAAGCCCUGGAUAUCCUAAUAAUUAAAACAGAAGAAAAUGGCAAAAUGCAGAAUAUAAAGAACAAAGAAAGAAUAUUAAAAGUGGCAAAUGGAAAAAGUCAGGUAACAAACAAAGGCAGACCUAUCAGAAUUACACCCAACUUCUGAACGGAGACUUUACAAUCUAGAAAUGCCUGGACAGAUAUCUUGUGACCUCUAAAAUACUACAGGUGUCAGUCUAGAAUACUAUACCCAGUAAAACUCUCAAUCACCAUUGAGGCAGAAAACAUCCAAAUUUAAAAAAUAUCUAUCCACAAAUCUGGCCCUACAUAAAGUAUUAGAAGGAAAAUUCCUAACCUGGAAGGGAAACUACAUCCAAGAAAACAGAAAAUAUAAGUAAUAUCCAUACC